rnacentral:rRNA from 1 species
UACGUAGGCAGCAAGCGUUGUUCGGAGUUACUGGGCGUAAAGGGUGCGUAGGCGGCCUUAUAAGUAUGGUGUGAAAUCUCCCGGCUUAACUGGGAGGGUGCGCUAUAGACUGUGGGGCUAGAGUGUGGGAGAGGAAAGUGGAAUUCCUGGUGUAGCGGUGAAAUGCAUAGAUAUCGUCAAGAACACCGAUAGCGAAGGCAGCUUACUGGGCUGUAACUGACGCUGAUGCACGAAAGUGUGGGGAUCAAACAGG